UUUUUUUUUUUUCAGAGGUUUUGGUAACCUAGUUUAUAUACCCUUGUUCUUCAUUGCUUUAAAGAUGCCCAGACUUUCUAGAUGUAUUAAAAGUAUAAUUUCUCAGAGUUAGAACACCACCAAAUCAGUUCAAAAAUUCACUCACUUCUAACACUUACAUGGUUUGCUUCCAAAAGUAGCAAAAGCUUAAUAGCCAGAAAAGAUAGAUAUGACAAGAUUCUCAAACUGCCAAGAAUUUCUUGAAGUAACAUGGGAACAGGAACAAAGUCAUGAGCCUGUAGCCAUUCCCAGAAAAGUUUGAAGAUUUAAGCAUCUUUGGUAUCAAAGACUUAUUUGUUUUCAGCAUCAGUUGUAUCAGUAAUUAUAAGAAAACUGAAAAGUUACUAAUUGAUUUGGGACUGGUGGAGCCCAUUUCUCCUGUAAGAGGAAUAUCAUGUGUUUUCCGUGGCUGAUGAAAUUAAAAUCUUAUUAUGUUGUUAUACAUUUACUCAACAGUUCAAAUCUUUUAAAAAAAUAAUUAAAUAAAAGACCUGUGAAAAAGCAUAACAUUUAUAAUAGAAAGGGGUGUAGGGGACAUCUUGUCCAAAGUCGGGUCCCACAAAAGCCUGUAAUUGUCAGCUUCGUGAAAUAAUCCUACUGAAGUCUGUACAGUACAAGAAGCCACAUUCUCCACAGAUAUUAGAAAAGCCAUCCUGGAGAAUGAAGGACACUGACUAGAACUAAAUAAUUUAGGCUGAGCUCUAAGAAAUGACAGUCCAGUAAGUUAUUUAAUACAUGGUGGGUAAACAUUUCCUGGCUUGGUGAAUCCAGCUGCUCUCUCACUUCCUUUCCACAGCAAGAUGGGGAGAAAAUAUGAUAAAAAAGCUCGUGGGUUGAGAUAAGAAUAUGGAGAUCAUUCACCAAAUAUCACCAAAAGCAAAAUAAACUUGACCACAAGAUUAAUUAGAGUGGGUUAGUGAGAAACAAAAAAACAAAACAAAUAUAACUCCACACACCCUUUUCUUCCUAGGCUCACCUUCACUCCAAUCAUCCUCUUUCCCAAGCAGCACAGGGAAGAUGGUGAACAGGGUUGAGGACAGUUCUUAGCACUUCAUCUUUGCUGCUUCUUCCUCCUCACAACUUUCCCCUUCUCCAGUGCUGGGUCGCUCCCACAGGCUUCAGCCCUUCAUGAACCGAUCCAGCAUAGGUACUUUCUAUAGGCUGCAGUUCUCCAAGAACUGCUUCAGCAUGGGUUCGCACCACUUCAGAAGUGGACUGUUCCAGCAUGGGUGCCCUACGGGCCAAUCUUUGUUCUAGUCUCUGCAGCUGGGUCCUCUUCUCACAGCAGCCCUACUGCUACCAACCUUGCCACGUAAGCCGCCAUACAAUGGCAUGCCCCAGGAAACGUUGGACUAUCCACUGGAAUUGAACGAGUAAUUACUCAAUUCACCUUUUAGAAUAGGCAUGUUCAAAAUAGAUGCUGUCACUACCCUGGAAACAUCAAUUGUUAUAUCAUAAGACCAGCACUAAAACUUACUUUUUAAAGAUGUUCUUACGAUAAAGCAACAGAUCAAGAUCCAAGGCAAAUUGCAGCCUCACUUAGUGACUUAAAAAACAAACAAACAAACAAACAAACAAAAAAAAACAGCAGUCAGAGCACUUCAAGACAUAUAUGUUAAAGAAAAAACAACUGCAUCAAGAUUAAUCUGAGUCAUACAGGAGAAUCAUGUUCUGCCUAAUAGAAGAGUAGUAAAAUCUGUUACAUCGUGUGUUGCAUGAUAUACAAUGAACUAGUAGUGAAAGAAUGAGAUCCCUUCUUCAUUAAGUAGAACUACAUCAUCAGUUAUUUAUUAAGGCAAAGAAGUCAUUAGACUUUACUUAGAAAUGAAAAUAAAGUUAUCAGUCCCAUACUGAUAAUGUCCCAGGCAUUCACCUGCUCUUGUCUGAAUACCUUAUUUCUCUUUAUAUUACAUUGUGAGGAGUCAGUCUUUACUUUGCUCUAACACUUGUACGUAAGUAAAGUGGGUAUAAAAUGUAAUCAUGUCAAAAAAUGAUAGCAUUUCCCACCCACUCUGCAAGAAGGAUUAUGGUCUGUCUAAGUCAGCCAGGGAAUUUGGUCCAGAGCGUCUUGUGGCAGCUUUUUCCAACAUAAUCCAAUUAAAGUGAACCUUGUGCUGUCUUCCAUGCAGUAUUCUAUAUAGAAAUGUAUAGUCAAAUUUAGGGAGCUCAGAGCUAAAUGAGAUUUAUUUUUAACGUUUUAAUUGCUAACACAGUAGAGCUGAAUAAACUAACUGCAACUUCCACAUUUUUCUAGAAAUAAAUUGUUGAAAAAUGUUAGUUACUGCAGUUCCUUGGAAGUCAUGUCUUACAGUGACAGAUUUCUUUUCCCUCCUGUAUAUAAUAUUUGUACAAAUGACAAGAACAAGUAGAAGCAUGUAGGAUAUUUGUAACAUUUUACUAGGGAAUUACAUUUGCAUGUAUUUUCCAGGAUUUUCAUAAUAGACAUCUGUAUUUAGGAGUUCAUAACUCCAGGAUAAAUUCCAUUCUUGACUGGAACCUGGAAAACAGAUUCUCCACUCCAGAGGUACUUGGAGUGGAGCUAUAAAAAGCUAUAAUAUUCGGAAUGGAUAUGCAUUGCUUAUUACAGAAAUGACAUCAAAAGUGAAGAAAGAUGAAACUUUUUGUCUUAGUAUAUACCAAUGGGAAUCCUGUGAGCUUUAGAACAUGAUUUCAUAUUCCAUUAUCUGGAAUAUAAAGAAAGAAUACUUCAUCCUUCCUGAAAGAGGAAAUUAACAUAUGCUUUAAGAGAAGAAUGGAAGGCUUUCAAAAUGGAAGGGUUUCCUCCUUUCCUUGAGUUAGAUAGGUCAUAACUACAUCUAGAUGUGUUAAUAACUGGGAAUGAAGUCUGAAAUGAAUUGUAUGCGAGAAUCAAGAAUUACGUAAGCACAUUUGAUGAAAAUUUGAAACAAGGUCUAAGAUAGAAUCAAUCCAUAGAAGAUUCAUAAGUAGAAAGAAGUCUCACUCAUUAAAUAGUUGGUGUUUUCUUUUUGUUUGUUUGUUUUUUUGUAAGUACCAGGAAAGUGAUUUACAGAAAAAAAAAUGAUUGUGCUAUGUGUUAACAUAAUUAACACUUGUUAAGCAGGACUGAUACACAAAGGAAAAAUAGAAACCAACAUAUGACAUUCAGCUACUUUGAAAUUUUGUUUUGGUUUAUCUGAUAAGAUUUACUGUCAGAGUGCAGUGUCAAAAAACAAGUGACUAAGUUACCCCCCAGUGUUGCAAUGGAAUAAAAAUCUGUUAACAGUCUGCAUGUCAGUAUUCUUUUGCAAUGACCAUUUUAAAUCUCAAGGCUAAAGACACUCUCAAAUGAAGUACAUCAACUACCAAAUAAUUUAAAAGGUCAUGAAGAAAGUUAUGCUUGAGUAGUGUUAUAACAAAUAAGCAAACCAAACAAGCAAUAGCUCACCCAUUUCCCCUUUCUGCCUCACUUAGCACCAUCCCUCCUUCCACGCAGUGGGGUUUGAAGCCUCGGAUAAUAAAAGCUGUCAUGUGUUUAUUAAGGUCACGAACAUGCAACACCUGAAUGAUCUCGAUAUCCUUGGUACAAGUCCUGAAACGUAAGUCAGCCACAUUUGUCUUUUUAACAGCAGCAAUAGUACACACACAUUUUAUAACACACGUACAACUUGGACAGUGGCAAUAUUUACACUCUUCCUAAAUGUUUUAGAUAAAAGGUGGAAAUCAAACCUCUUCCAUAUUCAUCUACCUGCCCCACCAUCUUACUGAAGUCCUCAAGCAUUGUACCCUAUAUUAUUUAUGCAUCAAGUCAUAAGUAUAACCUAUAUACUUAGAAGCCUCUAAGUAUUACCUACGGCAGCUUCAUGAAUCUAAUUCAGACAGGCUUUUAUACAUGACAAACAUUAAUCAGCUUAUAAAUCUGGAUGUAGAAGUUUAUCUUAAGAAAAACGUAGUAAUUUAACGCAUGUUGUACACUGCAGUUAUAUUUUGUCCACCACUACUCAUAAUGCUGUAUCAUUAAGCAUGUUUAAUUUCACUUAAAGCAGUCAGGCAGUGAACACUAAAGCCUUCCUCAGAUAUCAUAUAACCCAGUAAGCCUUAGGAACCACUGGAUAAAGCAUGCAGUUUGAGAAUAGGGAUAAAUACAAAGAUAGCACAACUUUUGGAAGAGUUUGUGUCUGUUCAUGUCUCAAUGACCAACCAACAAGCAUAUAUUAACAAGUUUGUCACAGAUAAUACUUGUAAUUCAUAGCAAGGCAUGCU
ensembl:lncRNA